UUGUGGAGGAGGACGCCGAAGGUGGGGCUAAUGACUGGGGUGAAGUCGUAACAAGGUAGCCGUACCGGAAGGUGCGGCUGGAUCACCUCCUAACAGGGAGACAACAAAAUGUUAAAUAUUAAUUUUGUCACCUUAGGUCGAUCGGUAUCUCACAUUCUUAAUUUUUAAGGAUUUUAUUUCCUAAGUUUUUUCUAGGUCACACCCAUUACUUUUCCUGGGCCAUUAGCUCAGGUGGUUAGAGCGCACCCCUGAUAAGGGUGAGGUCCCUGGUUCAAGUCCAGGAUGGCCCAUAUCUCUAUGUUGGGGGUAUAGCUCAGUUGGUAGAGCGCCUGCUUUGCAAGCAGGAUGUCAGCGGUUCGAGUCCGCUUACCUCCACUGAAUACCACCUCUUCCAUAAUUAAUAGGAUGGAAUUGUUUUGAGUUGUGACAAAUUCUGAACGAAUCUAGCUUCCUAAUGAAAUCCAUUAAGAUGCUGGACUCAUUGAAUUAAUUUCAUUGUUUUCAGAGAACCUUGACAACUGCAUAGAUUAUUUUAAAGACAAUAAGCAUCUUUAAUGAUGCAGAUUUAUUAUUUGUGCGAAUGCAUUAAUAACAAUUCUAUUAAGCUGAUGCUUCAAUUUUUGAAGUUAUUGGUCAAGCUACAA
rnacentral:misc_RNA from 1 species